CAUUUCAGUGGAUACCUCACCCCCUUUUUUAUUACUGAAGUAGAGUUGACACACAAUGCUGUUUCAGCAGCACAACACAGUGACUCGACGGUUCUAUACAUUACACAGUGCUCACCAUGGUAUCUUGCCAGCGCGGAUGCCCUCAACCACUUGGCAACCAGGCACACAUCCCUCUCUGGGUUUUAAAACAAUCUCCGAGUAAGAAAAAUGACUUUGGAAACUCUUAAGGGCUCCACGGCUUGUAUACUCUUUGAAAAAGUCAAGGUCACAAAAGCAACGGAAGUCCGAAGAACUGUUCCAGAAUGAAGGAGACUGAAGAGAAAGGACAUCUAAAUGCAGUGCUCAUGAUCCUAGAUUAGAUCCUGGAACAGGGAAAACCGCUAUCAAGGAGAUUUGAAAGUGGACUGUGUAUUAGAUGACGAUGUGGAUGUGCCCUACGAGUUGCCCCUGAAGGAUGAACAGGUCUGUGCCUGCAACUUCCCCACGCCGGAAGGUUUCCCGGUCAGCUGGCAGGCCGGUCCUUUACUGGCAACAUUGUCCUUUACCACCAAGGAGAGAGGGAGAAGGCUUGCCCCUGUCAUCAAGCUCAGAGCCGAGCUCAGCAAGUAAGAUGUUGAACACUUUCGGAAUGCACAGCGUAACACAUGCCAAGCCCUAAAGGACUGUGAAGGGAUGCUGUGAGAAAGAGGAGUAAGCUUCAUGGAAGAGGCAAGACUGGCUGGUCCCUUGGAGGAUGGGGAGAACCUGGAGUGUGCUGGCAUUUCUGGGAGCUGGUUCAGCAAGAGCAAAUGCACAGACGAAGAACAGAAAGGGCCUGAGGAGUGGAGAAGGGGCAUCCGUGAGGAAGGAGAGUUGGAGAUGAGGCUGUGGCUGCAGUGUGCAAGGGGUCUGAAGAGCCCUGACAAAGUGUGGUGGGCGCUAAGAUAGCCGGGCCCCAUGUGUGUGACACCCCACAUGCUGCCCAGCUGUCUCUCGCUGAGUAACACGCAUGGGAGCUAGUGAAGGCCCACGGAGGAACCAGGGCACCCGCACGGAGCUCCUCAGCCCCGGCAGAGAAGCUGAUGGAGUGGGUCGGCCUGUGAACACCAACUGCGUACCUGAGGCUUGUCGACCACAGUGUGCACACGGUGGGGUGAAGGGGAGUGCACUGGUGUGCUGCUUCUGGCCGGAGAGGCCUCCCGGCUGGAUGCACUCCGGACAGGUGAGCGGAAUGGGGACGCUGCCGGCAUGGGCCGGGGCUCCCAGUCGUCCCCCGGGGCCCUGUGGUACAUCGGCUGGUAGGUCUGGUAUUCACCCUGUUGAGCCGGGUAGUGGGUCUUCUGGGCUUGGUGGAAGGAAGGCUGGGCUGCUGGCCGGGCGACAUUCUGCUCGUGUAUCACGGGGAUGGGGAUGUAGCCCCGGGGGAGCUGGUGACUGCCCAGGCUGCUCCUGCUGGAGGAGGAGGGCAGGCUGGCUGUGGAGGACGACGACGAGCAGUCCGAAGCAGCUGGAGACUGGGAUCGCUGCAAGACACAAAGAGUAGAGGAACGAGUGACCCUCUGCCCUGGUGCUCCAACCUUGCCUCCUUAUGUGCCUGCUCAGCUUCAGGGCCACACACUGAUGUCUCUGGAUGUGGGAAGCAGCACAUGUCACGUGCCCGGAAGCUGGCCAGCCCCUAGACCACCUAGAAAACCAAGUACUCCUUCAAGAAAGGAAAAGAACAGAGCCGAAGAAGGCGGUGCUAACUCUGGCCACAGACACAGAGCGAGAAUCUGUGUUCACGAGCAGCGCCAGCGGACAUCAGCAGACAAUCUGCAGGCAGGGAAACCGGAAGGGCUUACUGCUCAGGAAUCCUUCUGGGGUCCACUGGCUCUCAAAUCCCAGCUAAGAACUGGAUUAAGAACUCUUUAGAUAUUAGUGCACUGAAGCACUGGCUUCAGGCUUAAAAAUAAAACCCUACCGUCAAG